UCAGAUUGAACGCUGGCGGCAGGCCUAACACAUGCAAGUCGAACGGUAACAGGAAGUGCUUGCACUUCGCUGACGAGUGGCGGACGGGUGAGUAAUGCUUGGGAACUUGCCUUUGCGAGGGGGAUAACAGUUGGAAACGACUGCUAAUACCGCAUAAUGUCUACGGACCAAACGGGGCUUUUAGCUCCGGCGCAAAGAGAGGCCCAAGU
rnacentral:rRNA from 1 species